rnacentral:misc_RNA from 1 species
AUCGUUGCCCGAUGCCUAUUGCAGUGCAAUAGGAAUUUCUAGGGCGAAUGAUGGCUUCCCGUGAGCUUAGUUGCCUCACGGUUGGUUGAAAAUUGAGUCCUUGGUAGGGUGUGCCAUGAUAGAUGGUGGUCGAGUUCGCACGAUACCGAUCAUGUGCAUGCUCCCCAAAAUAUGGCCUCUAUGACCCACACGUGUCUUUUGACGCUCA